UCGUCCAUCACCACAAAGCUUAACCUUUCAGGUCUAGGCUGGAAGGUUUAUUGAAUCCUUCCAGUGGCGCAGAAAAUUUUCUCAACCCUCGGAAGGCAACUUCCGGGGGUUUUU
rfam:Paraglaciecola sp. S66 Contig20, whole genome shotgun sequence.